UACGGAGGGUGCAAGCGUUAUCCGGAUUCACUGGGUUUAAAGGGUGCGUAGGCGGGUAAGUAAGUCCGUGGUGAAAUCUCUGAGCUUAACUCAGAAACUGCCGUGGAUACUAUUUGCCUUGAAUAUUGUGGAGGUGAGCGGAAUAUGUCAUGUAGCGGUGAAAUGCUUAGAUAUGACAUAGAACACCAAUUGCGAAGGCAGCUCACUACACAAAUCAUUGACGCUGAGGCACGAAAGCGUGGGGAUCAAAACAGG
rnacentral:rRNA from 1 species